GAGGGAGCUGCCAGCCGUGUCUGUGCUUCCCCGGGUGGUAGCCUCAGCCAGUGGGACAGACGGCAUGGCCCUGUGCGCGGCUUGGACUUUCGGGGCGCUCCUGCGGGGGGCGCUGGCUGUGCUCAGCUUUGCCGGGAACCGGGUCAGGUUCACGUGCCCGGGCUUGGCUUUUCAGGAAACCUGGGCUUUGUGACAUUUUAUUCAUAGGUUUGUGCUCUAUCAAUACCCACCUCUCUAACCUAGAAGCUCAGGGAAUAAAAAUGGGGAAACUGAAUUAACACAUUACGUGUCACCGAGCCCAAAGAGAAAUCAGUAGCAGAACAUACAUUUGGACGUGGAGUGACCACCAAAUGUCCACUUUUAGCUGUGCAGACACCGUGCUGGGAGUCGUGGUCACGUGAGGACACAGACAUUUCUUUUCAAGAUAAAUUAAAAUAAAGGGCAGCGUAGAAUGUGCUUGGCGUUUCCCACUUAACUGGAGGGUUUACUUUCACCGAAUUCACUCUGGACCAGUGACUUCACACUGGCGGUGUGUUUGCGGGUGUUUUUUCCUGCUCUGCACUCCCCUGACCGCGGCGGGCUCCGAGCUGCCCCCCAGCCUGCUCCGCCCCCUGUGGUCCUCGGGGUGGCUCCGGGAAACAUUCGGUGACGUCCAGAGACUUUCCGCAGCCAUCACGAGCCACGGCGGCGGUGGUGCUGGCGUCUGGUGGGCAGACGUCCCACCGUGCGCUGGGCAGGGCGCCGUCCGGCCCCCAGUGUCCGCAGGGCCCAGGCGGGUGCCCCUGGCGUAGAGGACGCAUGUGAGGAAUCCUCCCGUGACCCCACCGUUCAGUUCUCCAUUCCUAAGCUGCGCUUUUCACAGAUCUGAGCGGCUGAGGAGUGCUCCGGAGUGAGCCCGGGGAGCACGGGGCACGCGGUGGGGUCCCGAUGAGGAGGCUGCAUCUGCCCUCCUCCAAACCGGGCCGGCAGCCGCUCAGCGUCCCCUGCUCUGACCACUGGCAUCUGACCCCUCGGGCGGCCACGGGCAGCACACGAUCCACCGGCAAGCACCCUCCCUGUGCUGGGUGGCCGGCGGCUAACUCUCAUUGUCAGGGGCCUCUGCACCCCCGUCCCCCUGUCCCCCUCUCUGCCCCUCUCUCCUCUCUCCCCCUGUCUCCCCCCUCCCCCUCCCCCUCCCUUUCCCUCUCUCCCCCUCCUCUCCGUCCUGUCUUCUUUGUUUCCUCGUGGGAGGUGCAUCCGAAGCCCGGAUGCUCAUCCACUUGGGGACCGCCCACUUUAUGCUGGGAAAUGCAGACAGUGACCCAGCAGCAGUGUCAGUCUCUGUAUUUGCAGCACCACCUCCCACUGUUGGAUGGGACUUAGCUCCUGAAUUCCUUGUCCCGACCUUGGCCUUGCCUGUUCUUGCUCACUGAACAGGACAAGAAAUUGGUGCGGUGACCCCAGGUCUAGAUCCACUUUUGUGGACACAAGGUCUCCAGAGUUUCUUUCAGGUCACUUCCAACGCCUGGCCCAGCACCCAGGAGGGAGACCUCAGGCUGCCCUUUGGACAAUCCCUUCCCCUUGGGAGCAGCAGGGCCUGUGACGAGUCGUGUCUUCAGCUCUGCUACUGGGGCUCAGAUUUUCCUAUUUAGGAGGCCGGCUCCCAGCGGUGUUGGAACGCCUGCCUCUCAGUGGCCGUCCCAGGGACCUUAUUCUCUGCCAGCGAUGGUCCUUUUCCUUGUCCUCUUCUGCUUUAGAACGGCUGCUGCUGGAUGACCCGAGGAGUCUCUCAUAGGUGGACGCGGAGAGAGACGAGCGGAGCAGGAAGCCCCGCAGCGGGGAGCGGGCACCUGUGCCCACCUAGCGCACCACCAGAUACCAACCUUGGCCACCUUCUUCCUUCCAAGCACAAGGACGCUUUCCGGAGCAUCAGGCCCUCGGUACCUGCCUCGCUCACAACACCCCCUCGGGCUUGGGCUCGAGGCUGUUGAGUCCAGAGACUCUGACACCUGCAGACACCCCCCCCCCCCCCCCCCCCGCCUGCUUCCCUCCUGCUCACGUGAGCCUCAGGGAGGGAGGGGUCAGUGGGACUCAGCCACAGCAGUCGUCCACGAAGCAAGCUUCGUACACAGUGGACGUGCGCAGGGACUGCUCUUUGUCUACACUUGAAACACCGGCACUAAAUCAGGCUCCCAUUAAAGCUGGGCCACCUGGCUGACCCGAGUCCAGUGAGGGCGGCGCCUGGGCCUGAGCCGCGGGGACUCCAUGAGAGCGUCAGGCCACCUCGAGUUGCCUUAAAGCCCUGUGACCUUAACCGACCCGCACGGAGCCCGGAUCUCUUGGUCCAGCAGUCCCCAUCAGCCCAGACCCUAGAGUCCUUCUGGGGCCUGCACCGGCUGUGUCGGCCUGCGCUACGGGACACGGCGUUCUUUAAGAACGGUUUCGUCAUCACUGCCCUUCCUAUGACGUCCUAAGUGCACUGUCUCAAGGAAAGUCAGGUGCACUGCAGACGCCUUGCCUCUCAAGCUAUUCUGGUUGCCAUGUGGCCACCGGGACUGUAAAAAACAAGGACAAAAAUUAAGAAAAAAUUCUUCUUUCUUUCCAGAUAGCUUGUAACUCUCAAAAACAACAAGGAUGAAGGGACUUAGUAAGAACAUCACGCCUGGGUCAGCCCUGUGCCUCAUCCCCACUCCGUGAACACCCGAGUGCCUGGUAAGGACAAAAAUCACAAACUUCAAGUAUUUAACCAGUGUCUACUGCUUCUGAGGGGUUUCACGUGGCUUUCCGCUCAGAGUCACCGGGGACACCGGAUGCUGAGACGGGGCCAGCAAGUGACUUGUCUGGAGCAGGACGUGGUGGCCCCGCUGCCCCCCCAGCACUGCCGGAUGCUGGGCGGAGACGGCAGUGGGUGUCACAAGCCAACACUCGGUGUCUGUCUACAUCUCCUUCAGUCCUAAGAGAGGGGUCCGUCCUGGCUCUCACGGUGUGCUAACGGCUAUUUGCCGUGUCAUAUUACAGGUUAAAGUUCCGUUUACGGCCCCUGCUGUGAGAGCUUAAAGAGGCAAACGGAUCACGUUUGCCACGUCGCUGGUGUGGACACUCGGAACCAGGAGUUUUAAAAUAUGCGCUUGUGGUGGAACAAUGAAGUGUGUGCAGAAUCUGUGUGUCGAGAACAACCACCGAAAUCUGACUGUUGACCUGAGUUUUGUUAGAGCGACAGCUGUUUGUGUGCAAUUAAAGUCUGAUCGCAAAACUAUUCUGCCAAUGGAUCUAAGACGGCAAAGAGACCUGCGAGCCCGAACCUCCCAGAAUGCCCUGUGCUCAUGGCUGCACUGAGCUAUGUACACCAAAACAAACAUUCUGUUUGGAUCUACACAGGAACUAUCACUGAUCACAGCCACAAUGGGGGUCAUAGGAUGUAUGCCCUAAUGUCAAAGCACAACUUAAUGUCUCUCCAUUAAAACACAUAGUCCUGGACACCAUAAGACUUUUCACUGGCACACGUCCCAGGAAUGUCACAGCCUCGUGUCUGCCCUGAUCUGUCCCUCCGCGAGACAUACACCUGUUACAGUGUCGUCUUCCCGCCCAUCUAAAACCCCUGUCCUGAGACCGGGUGGGAGCAAUGGAACUCAUCAAACCCACGACUGAAGUGUCAUCGAUUCGUUAUUGUUAAACGGAUGCCUGAAUCAGAGUGCAUGUUACUACACGUUGUGAUCUGAGACUGGUGAACCACUGUGGCUUCUGCCCCCCUGGCGACACGUCAGUGAGGUGCAGGGCGGAUUCCACGCACACGAGCAUUUCUUCCUGGGGACCCCAAGGUGCUGCCCAGGCGCCCUUGCCGGGUAGCAGGUGGCUAAGCCCCUGACCCCACAGGGCCAGCCCCUCGCCGUCUGCCUGGGGGGUGACGCCGCCCUGAGCGGUAACACACCCUGGGUGCGGCAGCCUCUGUGACCUUGUGCCCAGCGUCCCCCCUCGCUGUGCUGGCAGAAAGACCCAGCUCGUCUCCCGCGAAUCAGCUUACAGCAAAAAAAUAUCUGAAGGUGUCUCAGGCUCUCUCAUCCUGGUAAAAGUCAAUCACUUAUUUUUAAAAACCUUCUACAUAGAGGCAGAAAGAACCGUGGGUGUCUCCGGGCUGCACCGGGAGAGUCUGUGGUUGACCCGCCUCCGUGAACUGCCCUGCGAGACUGAGGACAGUAGCUAGAAAUCCACAGAAACAGACCCUGAGGAUCCAGGGUGAUCAUACAAAAUGGUCCAAGGGGUGCACUGGAGUUCUGGGAGGAUUUCGUGGAAAGGCCCUCGGCCACGUUUCUUGCUCAUUUCUUUUGUGGCAACUCUAUCAAGGGAACGUAAUUAAGUAAAAUGCCAAGUAUUAAAAAAUAUGUAAUUUUUUCUAUUGCCCUCAACUUUAAAAGAACUCAUAAAAAUGUAAGAUUAGGCCUCGUCCAUAAUAGCAAAAUAUGUUUGUAAAUUGGAACGAUUCAGGCCACAUGUACAAAAGUCUUUGCUUUAUUUAUAUAAAAAGUUCAAUUCAGAAACUGCUUUUUAUUUAUUUUUUUGCUUAAAGAGAUAUGGUUCUAAAAAUAUAUUUAUUUUGUUUUUUUCUGUCACAUAGACGGAAACAGUAAAGAAAUUCAGAGGAGUGCAAAAUAAAGAUAUUUGCAAUGGAAAAAUGACAUACACUGAUUCUUAUGCUACAUGUCUGUGAUUUUUCUCCCCAAAUGCAAAGAGAACAGGUCACUUAAAAGCAACAUACAUUACUUCUGCCCAAUUUCUUGGAUAUAUUACCUGAAACUCAAGGAAAGACAAAAUCUUGCAAAUCAUUUUUUAACCUGUAAGACAUUCAUUAA